ACAUGUUUGAGGCAGCACUUCCAACAAGAAGAAGAUGAGGACAUGUUUGAGGCAGCACUUCCAACAAGAAGAAGAUGAGGACAUGUUUGAGGCAGCACUUCCAACAAGAAGAAGAUGAGGACAUGUUUGAGGCAGCACUUCCAACAAGAAGAAGAUGAGGACAUGUUUGAGGCAGCACUUCCAACAAGAAGAAGAAGAUGAGGACAUGUUUGAGGCAGCACUUCCAACAAGAAGAAGAUGAGGACAUGUUUGAGGCAGCACUUCCAACAAGAAGAAGAUGAGGACAUGUUUGAGGCAGCACUUCCAACAAGAAGAAGAUGAUGAGGACAUGUUUGAGGCAGCACUUCCAACAAGAAGAAGAUGAGGACAUGUUUGAGGCAGCACUUCCAACAAGAAGAAGAAGAUGAGGACAGGUUUGAGGCAGCACUUCCAACAAGAAGAAGAAGAUGAGGACAUGUUUGAGGCAGCACUUCCAACAAGAAGAAGAUGAGGACAUGUUUGAGGCAGCACUUCCAACAAGAAGAAGAAGAUGAGGACAUGUUUGAGGCAGCACUUCCAACAAGAAGAAGAAGAUGAGGACAUGUUUGAGGCAGCACUUCCAACAAGAAGAAGAAGAUGAGGACAUGUUUGAGGCAGCACUUCCAACAAGAAGAAGAUGAGGACAUGUUUGAGGCAGCACUUCCAACAAGAAGAAGGACUAGAAGUGACGUCAUACCUGAGUGGAAAAAGUUUGGACACCCCUGCCAUAUGGUCUCCACAUCAAAGGUCCAUUUCCCUACGAAGACCAUGCAUCCUGCCCAUCAACCAAUGGCCUCACCAGCCAAGUUUGAUCACUCUAUGGAGGCUGUACACCCCUCCCAUCCCCACACCGCUGGCCCAUCACCAAAUGUCCACACCUAUGGUCCUUCACCCGGCGUACACAAUAGCUUGCUACCUGAAUCCACCUGAGAAUAAAAAGGCAGCUUUCCUGGCACCAGACAGGAGAGAUGCAGGCAACCCAUCUAUUGAGGACACUAUCUGUUAUCAACCACAGGCAGAAAAAUCAUGGACGCCAUGUGAUGGAUGUAGGGAGGAGUUGGAAAAAAUGUGGGCAGAAAAAGAAGGAAUUGAAGAAGUCCUCUUGAAAAUAGAUCCGGUCCAAGUCAGAGUACUUCAAACUCUCUGCGACUUGGUUGGAGACAAAUACAGCGACGGCCCUCCUCAACAAUCGGGCCAGCAAGAGCUCUUUCCUGAGAGCGGCGUAUUCAUAUCAUUGUUCCGCCUUGCUGCCAUGAGACAUGCUGCAGAGCCCAAAUGUAUGCCUUUAUUUGGACCUCUUUUUUCUACAGUAGAGGAGUGUCAAAAUGCUGUCCCUUUUUGACGCCCUGGAAACAAACCUGCAGGAACACCAAAGCGCAUCCUUAAGCGGAAAAAAGUGGAAGGAAUCCUUACGUAUGUCCUGAGAUGCAGUACCCUUCCUGAUUGGGACGAUAUUGAGGAGGUCAAGCUCAAGAAAGCUUUGGUAAACAAAAGUCAGGCCAGAGAGGGUUUGAAGUAGGCCCUUGUACCUGUCAAGUUCAUUCUAUGGUAGGAUGUUCAAUAUUUUGGUCUAGGUUUGCGCAGUAUAUGUUGUCAAAAAUGGCCCUAUGAUGUAGCUUUUAGUACCAGGUUAUACUGUGAUAAUGCAUAUUGAGCUGUGCUGUGCCAAGCAAAUUUGGCAGUGAUGCAACCUCACUAACAAGCUAGCGGCUAAUAUCCUUUUACAGUUCAAAGUUGUUUCCAAAUCAAAAAAAAAUGACGCAGUACGUUACUGCUUACAUAAUCAGGUAUAUUAGUAGCUUUUGUAACCAAUUUCAACAUGUUUCAAUGAUCAUUUGUGUACCAAAUGUUAUAUUGUUAUGGCAGGAGGCUGUUCUAUUGUUUACAACAGUGUUUCUUAAUCCUAGGGCUGGAGCCCACUGUUUGGCUGCGAGUACCCCUUGGAAGCCGCCAAUAAAUAUCUGUUUCUUAGCUGUGGUCCGUCCAUAUGGGCCGCAAUGGUACUCGCUUGUAAUCCACUUUAGUGUAGAAGGACUCAUUCAGUGUUUAUAUUUCAUUUGGCCCCAGACCCCUCUGUAGUGGAACAUUCUGAGACCCCUCUGUGGUGGAAAAGUUGGUCGUGCCCCAAGGUUAAAAAUGUUAAGAAUCCCUGCUUUUCAAUGUGUGAUUAUUUUUUGGUAUGUAGACCAGUUCCAGACAGCACGGUUACAAUUUUAUAAAUGUAUUUCAGUUUUUGCUUGGAAUAUUUCAAAAAUGGAAAUGUUGUCAUUUACUCACCUUCUUACUGAGAUGAAGUCAAGUGUUUUUUGAACUAAGGUACCUGCUUUGCUCAACAAGGAGUUCAAAAAACUACACCUGACUUUUUCACAAUAACAAAGUGAGUACUUCAGGUCAAAUUCAUUUAUUUUUGUAUUUGUUUUCUUUUCUGUAUAUUGUUUUCUAUGUUGUCUUAAGUAUUGUAAAUGACAAUAUGUACAUGAUGUAUGUACUAAUUUACUACAUUUACAUUUUGUUAUUUCAUCUAUUUUUAAAUUAUAUUUUAAAAUAAAGUGAUACACCUUUCAAUAUUUGAGUAUUUGUUUAGUGUUAUUUCUAAUGAAGUCAGAUGAAUAUUUAAAUUGCACUCUCAAUUUGUUCUCAUGAUUCUCAAAUUUGAGAUAUGAUAAUAAAUUGAAGAGAAAUAAUCAAGACAUGAAAAAGACAUACAUAAGAUCUCUUU